GGUUUGUCUAUGUUCUAUAUUCUUGGACAAGCUUUUGAAACCUAUGUUGUAGCUUAUAACUACAACAUAAAGCACAAAUUGAAAUCUCAAUAUGGAUUCCCAACACCAAGCCUUUACAGAGCAGCCGUAGAUCUGAGCAGAAAGGCUUCAAAUCCUUCUACUGCAACAAAGAAAAGGACUAAUAAGAGCUGCUAAUUGGUCAUGUGAAAACAGCCCCAGUCUUCACAUCUUGCUCUCAAUAUGGAUCAACAAUGUAACAUGGCUGAUAAAACAAAAAGGAAUGCAGUCUUAAGCUGCAUACAUAGAAUUGUAUUUCCCAGAAGAGAGAUAUUGAUCAGUUCACUGCGCUCUGUACUGGGGCAGCCAUAUCUGGAAUAAUGAAUCAAGUCCUGGAUGUCAGGUCUUAAAGGAGCACUUUGACAAUUUGGACUCAUAUGGGAUUUGGGAAGGGCAUAAGGGAUCUAAAGGUUGCAAGCAUGGCCUGUAAAGAAAAAAGCUCAUGGAGAUAUGUUUGCUUUUUUACAAAUAUGAAGUGUUCUCAUCUGGAAGGAGCAGCAGAUUUGUGACAGAUUAAAGAUGGCCACGAAUUCUUCAAUACUUGGGCCAUUGAGAGAUGGGAAUCUUUGUCCCUCCCCUUUAAAUAUAGAUGGUCUCUAUGACUGGUUUGAUCAACGGAAAAUGUCAGAGUGACACUAUGCCAGUUUGCAGGCCCAGACCUUAAGAGACUGGCAGCUUCCUCAUCCUGCCUUCUGGCAAAACACAUUGCCUUGUGAGAAGUAUGCCUACGCUAUGACCACCAGACAUGGAGAAGCCCACGCUAGCCAUGCGGAGAGGCCAUGUAAAGGUAAGGAUGUCUGAACAGACCCCAGCUGAUCCAGCUAUCCCAGCUCAGGCACCAGAUAUGUGAGUGAAGAAGCCUUUGGACAACUUCUGGCUGCAAGCAUACAAAGGAUGCCAAGCAAGAAUCACUGUUGAGCCCACUAAUCCCAGAAUCAUGAGAGGUUUCAUUUACUGGAUGCAUACUUGGGAAACUUUCCACACACAUCAGACUCAGAGGAAAAGGAGAAAUAAUGGAACUUCUCUGUUGACAGGACAUCGGCAUCGGCAAGCAGCAAAGAAGACAACUGUUGUGACCGAGCAAAAUUCAACAAAGUUACAGUGCUUCUGAGUGUUGGGGUUUUUGUUCCGUGGAUUCACAUUUAAGACAGAUUCUGAGCAGAUGAAAGGAAAUGUGCCAUAAGUGGACUUGAAGAGAAAGACAGCCUCUGCCCAAGGCUCCUUAAACACAAGGUGAAGAGAUUGAAGCACAGAGAGGCUAAAUGACACAUCCAAAGUCACACAGCCCUUAAAUUGCCUGAGCUGAGACAUAAACCCAAGCAGUCAAGGUUGAAAGACCCUGACGACCCCUUUGUUCUCCACCUUACCUUGUUGCCCUAUUAUUCACGAUGACCCAAGACAACAUUGAGUGGAAACUUUUCUCUGGCAGGACUCUGAUAAAAUAAAGGC